rnacentral:tRNA from 1 species
UCCCUGGUGGCUCAGAUGGUAAAGCGUCUGCCUACAAUGCAGAAGACCUGGGUUUAAUCCCUGGGUGGGAA